AUGGAAACAAGGAAGCUGGGAGGAGGUGGCCUUCCAUAUCUUAGGAAAAAAAAAAAUCUUCUUUCUUCAUACCAAAAAUCGGAUCGAGAUUAGGACACCUUGUGAUACGUCGACCUUUGAUUGAUCAAAGGAGUGUGUCAUAGAGAGUUGUUCAUCUCCUAUUGCACGAAGGAGUGUGUUCAGCAGAGGAUGAACUGAGAAGAGACACAGAGGUCUAUAAACAGGAGGUGGAUGACCUAGGAAGCUAGGUUUUUAUCAGGACUCUGAUAGGAGUGAGUAGGAUUAGAGAAACUAUAAAAGGGGUUGCAGAGAAGUGGGAAAGCAUCAGAAAUCGAAAAAGGGGUAGAGAAAUUGAGAGUUAGAACGUGAUUGUGAAGGAAGGAUUCAGAGAUUUGAAGGGUUCUUCAGAGAAGCAAAAUUAAUCGAAUUCAAGGUACAGAACCAGAAACCUAAAAGUCUACUUGCUGUCUGUUGUGUAAUUAUGUAGAAGAAAUAAAAAGAUGAGCUUGUUGGCUUUUGCUCUCUUGUUUGAAUAAAGAACUAGUUUUGUGUGAACUUUCAGUAGUUCAUAAGUUAUAAUUUUGGCUGAAACUUUCAAUAAUGAAUCUGUUAUUCAGUUAAUUUUAUUCCAAGCGAGUUAUACAUGCUUUUACUUCAUGUCACAUUCUUAAUUAUAUUAGUUAAACUUAUAAUUAAGGUGUGAUUCACGUUCUGAACCAAGGUUUACGUUAAUCCUUGGGUUGGGGCGUGACAACGUGG